GUGUCACAAUGUGGUAAUGAAACAGCACAGUAAGACUCUGCCGCUGUGAAUAAAGGGAAGACUGUUCUCACACUGAGUGUUACUUUGAGGAGGAGGAGUGAGACUGUGAUGGGGUGGAGUUUAGCUGGCCAUCAGGGUGGAACCAACACCCCCCCACAUACAGGAAGAAUGAAGCCUCUUCCAGAACACCAACCCCUCCAUGACUUACCAACCACUGAAGCAUAACCAAAAUGGCAAAAGAUCUUUACACCACUUGAAAGCUGAAGAUAAUUUACAAGUUGAUGCAUGCGCUAAAUGAAAACAAGCAGGCUGUGAGCAAGCACCAUACUCAUCUCAUUAAAGCAUUACACACCUUUUCUAGCUUUCAUUUACUUUCCUCUCAGAGAAACACAAUCAGCUUGCUUAGUUUCCUAAUGAGUAUAAUAGACAAUCAUGUAAAGUAGACUAUUGCUUGGUAAAAAUGCAGCGUAGAACUGCAGGCAGUCUAUUAGAUGUAAACUUGCUUAAUUCUUUAAUUAUGUGUCUUUGAUCAAAAGCAGCUCACUUGGAAAGAGUUUUUAAAAAGCGAAGUAACAAGUACUCACCUUUCAUGUACAGCACUGACUGUUAGGCCAACCUGAUAUAACUGUGGAAUCACUGAUUGUACGUCAAGAACACCACUAAAAAUUGAGAUAAUAAAUGUUACUUACAGCUAUUAAAGCUUUUCUUUUUUGGAGACACAGGCCAGUAAGAGCUGUUCUGCACUUUCAGCUUUUCUUUCCAUCUCUGUCAAGAAUCUCAGUGAAUUUUUAAAGGAGAUAAUUGAGGCCAUUUAUCAUUUUUUCUCUGCUUUGUCCUCAACUUCUUUCCUUUCCUCAUUAACCUCAAAAAUCUGUAUUGAAAAUCUUCUUCCUAUUACUUCCAGCACCUUAUACUGUUCUUUGGACUUCGUCUUUUGACAACCCUUAAUCUAGACACAAUCUCUUCCAGCCUCUCCUACCCACUACCUACUUAUCACAUACAGCUAUUUUCUAUUUCCUUCUCAUCUCCUUCUUACCUGGUCCUCAGGCUUGGUGUCUUAAUGUUAAC